UUUACAUGGCCAAAUAGGCACCAAGUCAGGAUUAGCCCUCUUGGUAGCGACAACAGCUUCAGGGUGUAGCUCUUUUCGGGGAGACUCCUUUUGAGCUUAGGGUGCAGAGGGGAAACCAAAGAUGAAUCAUCAUCCAAAAACCCUUCAUCACCAUCAUCAUCAUCAUCUAAGACAUUCACAAUUCUUAUUAGGGUUUUCUUGCCAGCUUUCUUCAAUUUAAGCCCAACUAAAGCCCUAGCAACUUCAAGCUCCGACUUCAAGGCAACUGACUUAACCUCGGGCUCCCAUAUUGUAGGUUCAGAACUUUUGAUAACCUCGAGUCUUUUGCUGGAAGAGCUUAACUGCUAAUCACUAGAAGAGCCCUGACCAAGUAAGCUCUUUUCUUAAAAGCCUUGAGGCCAGGAGUCUUGGAUUUCUUAGCAACCUCGACCAUGGGCAAAAAAGCUGAAUCUUCAAUCUUUUUCUUCUUCUUCUACCCUUUCCCUCCGUUUCCACCAAUAUCAACAGAACCAGUCGCACCAACCUCGCACAUCCACUUCGAGAGUUUGCAAGGUUUGACUCGAGGCUCCACCUCUACUCCCAUGUCAGAAAACACAAGGUUCACUCAGACACUAUGUGUAAUAAUCUUAAGAGCCCACAAAUAUUCACUCUCGUGACAGGGCCCCAAGAUAUCAACAGCGCAUCUCUCAAUCUCAUCAACAAAAAUACAAGCAUUCGCCUCCUCCAACAAGUUCAAACCAAACAAAGGAACCAGUUCGUGGUACCACAUCAUAGUUUUCAUCACAAUUUCC
rnacentral:lncRNA from 1 species